GAACUCAUCAAUUUCGUUUGUCCCCUCAUUUAUUUUCUCUCCCUCUCUUGUCCCCUUUUUUCUCUUUCUGAAAUUCCACCCACAACACCUUCUCUCUAAUUUUUUCCUUGUCAGAACCCUGUUGAUCAGCGCUACUGCCACAGCCCCACGACCAUGUUUCUUUUCGUCUUCCCUCAUUUUCUCGCCAUAGCGCCACUGCAAGUUCACCAAUACGCAUCUCUCUUCCAGAACGGCUCUAACAAGGUUCCUCCCAAAAUCGAUCGAUCGUUAGUGUAUUCGGUAUGUUGGUUCCUUAGGCACUCCCUAAACUGAAAACCACCCACUGAUCAGAAUCAACAGAUUGAUGGUUGGCGUCAAUUUUAGCCCAAAACCGACACCGACCAUUGAUCAUCAAGCAAGGAAAAAAAUUUGAUUUUUUUAUUCUUCACACCCCCGAUUAUGUCCCAGGUCAUUAGAUAGGAAUCUGAAAAGGAAGAGAGAAACAAAGAAUAUUACCAUACUUUUAUGGAUCCAGAUAUAGGUUUAUCUCAUUUUUUUUUACUCGACAAAGGACUGUAGACCUCGUAGUGACUCUGACGUUGAAUGAGGUAAGUUUGAGCAGUGUAAAAUUAGUCAUUCAAUGAGGGUAUCUUCGUAUGGAGGCCGAUGUUCUUGAAGACUAUUUGUCUGAAGCUUUUGAUUUAAUAUUUCUAGAUCGUGACAAGAAGGCUCCUCCUAUUCCUUCAUCCACACUAGCCAAUUUUGGGCAAAUUUGCUUUGUUGAUUUGCAUGAGGUCUUGAAUUACGCAAAAUACCUACAUUAGCCUAAGAAAGUCGUGUCAUGUUUUAGGCUUUUAGUUGUUCUGAGGUAAUUGGAUUGAUUUGCAUGAAGAGAAUUUUUACUUAUUUGGUUGUGAUGGUUUCCCAAAGCUUCUUUUUAUGGGAUAGUUGUUCUUGAAAAGUUGAAGUAUUUUUUGUGGAGUCGUGCAGAUUUGGCUUGAGGAUUGGGAGUUUGAUGGAAUUAAUUUUUUUGGUAUUGAGAAACUUUCUGAUUUUGUUGCUACAGGUUGCCUUCGGAUUGGUUUUAAAAUGAUUUUUUUUUUUUUGGAUAGCUGAAUACUUCUUGGUAGCUAUUGGUUGGUUUUCAGUGUUUGGUGGAGGCCUUAUUCAUAGCUUCAUCAUUCAUUUGCGAGCUCCCCAAGUCUUUCAAUUGAAGAUAUUAGAAAGUUCUUAGUUCUUUAAAUAUGUAUUGCUCUGUUUUUAUCUUAUUUUCUUCACUCUCUCGGAGAGUUUGUAUCUCUUAAAUAUUUAUUCCUUUUUAUUAUAUCAAUGAGAAGCAGUAUUCCUUGUUUUUUUUCUUUUUUAGUACAACAACGAGAAGUUAUCCUUGUUAAAAAAAACAAAAUCUGUUUGAGGGUUUUGUGUGGAAUUUUCUUUUCACAAUGAUCCAGAUUUUGUUACCAUAGUUCUCAUUUUUUUUUUUUGUUAUGUUUUUUUUAAUUUUUUUUUAUUGCGGUUUGGAAUUUUGAUGUUUCUUGGUUCCCAAAAAUCUUCGUUUGGAAUUUUGAAAACCAUUAUUUUUUAUGUCAUGACGAAUUGUUUUGCACUUACAGAUAAAUCAGUCUAUUCAUGAUGUUCAUGGUGUUGAUGUGCAAUUUUGUGGAGUUAACUUCCUGGAGUCAUUGGAUACAUUAUCAUUUUUCUACACUCUUCGGUGUGUGUUCACAGCACACAAAAUCCAUGGAAGUUAGUCACUGUGCAAAGUUUAGCUUGGUCCUUCUUGGCACGAUGUUUUGAUUUCAAGUAGCCAUAUUUCAUGGCUUUUGAAUUUAUAUGCCGCACUUCAACAGAAGUUUUCAUGUCAAGCCAAACUGCCCUAUAGCCGUAUCUGCUCGAAGCUAAUCGUACAAUUUUGCUCCUUAGCAGGGACAAUAUUUCAUUCAGGCCAUUUGGCACCCUUCAACUGUUACCUAGUUUGAUGGGUGAAGUUAUAAAGAUUCUUAUGACCCAUAACAGUGACGAAGAGACAUAGAGUUGGCAGGCUCGUGAUAAGCAAAGAAGCUACGAGACUAAUGAUCAAGCUACUGGAGAUGAAAAAAGAAGCUACGAGGCUGAUGAUCAAGCUACAUGAUUAUUGAAGAUAAAGUAAAAGCAACAACCCAUAAGAGGAAAUUAAGUUACCUCAUAUGGAGUUAGAAGAGAAUGAUACUUGUUAUGAAUGGAUCCUAAAAUAAAGAGUAUAGUGGUCAAAGGAGAACAAGAGAAGACUGAAGUGAUAGGGCCCAAGGACAACUUGGGUCGGUCGACCUCGACCCCAAUCGAAAUUGAGGCCGAACUUCUUAUGUUAGCCCAAUGGCCAAAGACCCAAUAUAGCUACGCCUUAAGGGUCAAUAGGGCAAGCCCUGGCACAUUUAGCUUGAGAGAUAACCUAGCUCAUCUAGAUAAACCUUCUAUCAAAUCCCCUAUAAAUACAUCAAUUAUAACUUCAUACGAGGCAA